UACAGAGGGGGCAAGCGUUAUUCGGAAUUACUGGGCGUAAAGCGUGCGCAGGCGGUUGUGCAAGACAGAUGUGAAAUCCCCGGGCUCAACCUGGGAACUGCAUUUGUGACUGCACGGCUGGAGUGCGGCAGAGGGGGAUGGAAUUCCGCGUGUAGCAGUGAAAUGCGUAGAUAUGCGGAGGAACACCGAUGGCGAAGGCAAUCCCCUGGGCCUGCACUGACGCUCAUGCACGAAAGCGUGGGGAGCAAACAGG
rnacentral:rRNA from 1 species